rnacentral:rRNA from 1 species
UACGUAGGGAGCGAGCGUUGUCCGGAAUUACUGGGCGUAAAGGGCGCGUAGGCGGGACAUUAAGUCAGGUGUGAAAACUCCGGGCUCAACUUGGAGGUUGCACAUGAAACUGAUGUUCUUGAGGACAGGAGAGGAAAGUGGAAUUCCUAGUGUAGCGGUGAAAUGCGUAGAUAUUAGGAGGAACACCAGUGGCGAAGGCGACUUUCUGGACUGUAACUGACGCUGAGGCGCGAAAGCGUGGGGAGUGAACGGGAUUAGAUACC